rnacentral:rRNA from 1 species
AAACUUGAGAGUUUGAUCAUGGCUCAGAACGUACGCUGGCGGCACGCCUAACACAUGCAAGUCGAACGAAGUAGCAAUACUUAGUGGCAGACGGGUGAGUAACAUGUGGGUAUCUGCCCUUUGGCCUGGAAUAACACGAGGAAACUUGUGCUAAUACCGGAUAAGUCUUUACGGAGAAAGCUUUAUGCACCAUUGGAUGAGCCCGCACUUGAUUAGUUUGUUGGUGGGGUAAUGGCCUACCAAGACUGUGAUCAAUAGCUGAUUUGAGAGGAUGAUCAGCCACAUUGGGACUGAGACACGGCCCAAACUCCUACGGGAGGCAGCAGUGGGGAAUCUUGCACAAUGGAGGAAACUCUGAUGCAGCGAUGCCGCGUGAGUGAAGAAGGCCCUUGGGUUGUAAAGCUCUUUCGUCGGGGAAGAAAAUGACUGUACCCGAAUAAGAAGGUCCGGCUAACUUCGUGCCAGCAGCCGCGGUAAUACGAAGGGACCUAGCGUAGUUCGGAAUUACUGGGCUUAAAGAGUUCGUAGGUGGUUGAAAAAGUUAGUGGUGAAAUCCCAGAGCUUAACUCUGGAACUGCCAUUAAAACUUUUCAGCUAGAGUAUGAUAGAGGAAAGCAGAAUUUCUAGUGUAGAGGUGAAAUUCGUAGAUAUUAGAAAGAAUACCAAUUGCGAAGGCAGCUUUCUGGAUCAUUACUGACACUGAGGAACGAAAGCAUGGGUAGCGAAGAGGAUUAGAUACCCUCGUAGUCCAUGCCGUAAACGAUGUGUGUUAGACGUUGGAAAUUUAUUUUCAGUGUCGCAGCGAAAGCGAUAAACACACCGCCUGGGGAGUACGACCGCAAGGUUAAAACUCAAAUGAAUUGACGGGGACCCGCACAAGUAGUGGAGCAUGUGGUUUAAUUCGAAGAUACGCGCAGAACCUUACCAACACUUGACAUGUUCGUCGCGACUCUAAGAGAUUAGAGUUUUCGGUUCGGCCGGACGAAACACAGGUGCUGCAUGGCUGUCGUCAGCUCGUGUCGUGAGAUGUUGGGUUAAGUCCCGCAACGAGCGCAACCCUCACUUUUAGUUGCCAUCAUUAAGUUGGGCACUCUGAAAGAACUGCCAGUGAUAAGCUGGAGGAAGGUGGGGAUGACGUCAAGUCCUCAUGGCCCUUACGUGUUGGGCUACACACGUGCUACAAUGGUAUCUACAACAGGAAGCAAGACUGCGAGGUCAAGCAAAUCCUUAAAAGAUACCUCAGUUCGGAUUGCACUCUGCAACUCGAGUGCAUGAAGCUGGAAUUACUAGUAAUCGUGGAUCAGCGUGCCACGGUGAAUGCGUUCCCGGGUCUUGUACACACCGCCCGUCACACCAUGGGAGUUGGUUCUACCUUAAGGCAAGGUUUUAAACCCUUGACCACGGUAUAGUCAGCGACUGGGGUGAAGUCGUAACAAGGUAGCCGUAGGGGAACCUGCGGCUGGAUUACCUCCUUU